rnacentral:rRNA from 1 species
CCUACGGGAGGCAGCAGUGGGGAAUAUUGCACAAUGGGGGAAACCCUGAUGCAGCGACGCCGCGUGAGUGAAGAAGUAUUUCGGUAUGUAAAGCUCUAUCAGCAGGGAAGAAAUAGCGACCUUUGGGUCGCCAGACGGUACCUGAUUAAGAAGCUCCGGCUAACUACGCGCCAGCAGCCGCGGUAAUACGUAGGGGGCAAGCGUUAGCCGGAUUUACUGGGUGUAAAGGGAGCGUAGACGGCAGCGCAAGUCUGAAGUGAAAUGCCGGGGCUUAACCCCGGAACUGCUUUGGAAACUGUGUAGCUAGAGUGCAGGAGAGGUAAGUGGAAUUCCUGGUGUAGCAGUGAAAUGCGUAGAUAUUGGGAGGAACACCAGUGGCGAAGGCGGCUUACUGGACUGUAACUGACGUUGAGGCUCGAAAGCGUGGGGAGCGAACGGGAUUAGAUACCCCGGUAGUC